rnacentral:lncRNA from 1 species
GCUUAUCCCUCCACCCUCAAGAUGUUUCUUCCAGUUCCCCUACAUCCCAGCCUCCUUUCUUCAUGCCACACUUUUCCUCCUUUCAGAGCUCAAGGAGAAGUUCUGGGUCCCUGGGGAGAACACUCACAUGAGGAAGCAAGAAAGUGCUUCCACAUCGGGAGUCUGAGAAGGUGCAGGUGGAUCAGGAUCUUGAAGUGCUGUCAGUGCUAGAAGUUUUCAUAGAUGUUCUGUCAUCCACUGCAGUUAUCGGAAGGUGGGCAUUGCACACUCCCCAAACACUACCUCUGGCCAUUGGUGGCUAUUCAUGGGGAAGAUGAUGGGGCCUGUUGGGAAAAUGGAGGUGGUGCUGGAGGUUGAAGACCCUGGUGCCCGUUCCCCCACUGGCUGAGGCAGGCACAGGGGUCCUCAGGCAGAAGCUGCUGUGAGGAAUGGAGCAGGAUGAUCCACACCACCUCAGAAGGCCCCUGGGGCCCUCCAGUUGAGGAGUGCCUGAGUGAGGGCAACCUUCUGAAUGUGGCUCUCCUGGUCUCCAUCUGGCCCAUGUUGACCAAAGUUGAAUAGCCCAGACACACACACACAGCAGGGACACCAGCUUCUGCUGCCAUUGAUAUUUCAGGAUAAGCACACUGCACCAGCAGGUUCCCCUGGGAGAUUGGUGCAAUUACAGCAGGCAACAUGAUCAGCACCCAGAAUACCUGGUGUGUAGGCACAGGAGCAUAGGGAAGACAGAGCAGUGCUCUGAAGGGAGACAGGAGAACCAGGUUCUGCCUGGUCUCAGCAUUCAAGAUGCUAUGGAAGCAAAGUAAAGGGGAAGUGGCAGUAAGAGUGAGGCUCCCCAGCCUUUGUCACUGGGCAUCUGAGAAGGAAUGGCAACAGCUCAGGGUCUUAUAGGCAGGAAAAUCUUGUGGUUUGCAACUUUUUUUAAGUGAAAUUUAGGCUUCCUUCCUCCAAUCAAAAGUUACACUCAGAGAAAUCUUGAUCCCAAUACUCAAAGAUUCCCUGAACAUGGUCUAUAGUGACAUCUCAGCUUUUCCUGACUUAGAGGCCCUUGGCAUCCUUUGCUGACAAUGGAUUAGUGUACAAGGCAUCUUUCUGGAAACUGACUCUGCUGAGUGGCACCAUUCCUCUCAGCAUUCUCACCAACAGGAAGGAGACCUCCCUUCUCCAAAAAAGUUCUAGGCACUCCAAAGUCCGAUGUAAAUGUGACAAGUUCAUAAUUUAUGGCUCCCUCACCUCCUUAGCCUUCCUUUUGCUGAUUCUCCUUGGAAAACCCUCAGUGUUUUUUCUUAGCCUUGCACAACUAAACAAAAGCAACUGAGUGAAAUGUCUCCCUAGCUAGAGCCUGAGGAACCCUGAAGGUCACCAGGAGCACAUCAUGCCCAGAGUGUGGGUACCUCUCCCAGCACUUCUAACCACAAACACCAGUGGGGACACAGAUUCUGGCACCUCAGUGUAUCUGUAAACAGAGUUUUCCCAAGAAAAUUCUUGACACGGCAACAAGUAAACUAGCACUUGAAUAUUUUGGCUGGAGGUGCACAAGCCAUGGUCGCAGAACUGUUCUCAACUUGAAAUGAAUCAAGGCAGUGGACCUAAACUGUACCAGUAGAGAUUGUAUUUGUCCCACCCACCAAGCUGCAUGAGAAAUGACAAUUUUAGUUAAAAAUGUCCUAAUAAAGUAGAAAGAAUGUCAAUCAUUCUUAACUCUUGAACCAUGGGAGAUGCAGUGCUAAAACUGAACACCCAAGGGCCACACUUGCACAUAUCAAAUAAAUGGUGGGAAGAGUUGAUAGGCACAGAGAUAUUUGAAAAGUGGUGGGAAAAUAUAUGGGGGAAUGGGGUUGAUAGCUAAAAGGUAAGAGAUUUCUUUUUGAGCUGAUGGAAGUAUUCUAUAUUUUAUUGUAGUUGUUAAAGAAAUGUCUGUUGCCGAUAUGGUGGCAACGUCUAUGAAAACUUUAGAAUUCUAAUAUUUGAUGGGUGAUGUGAGUUAUGUGAAUGUCUUCCUUAAGUUAUUUUGCAGUGACCUGUAGCAAAAAUAUUAAGAUGUUAGCAGACAAUGCCUCAGAUGUUUGGCCAGCAUGCCACAGCCUGGCCAAGAUUCUAGGAAACAGGAGACAGUGCUGGCCAGUUCACAGAGAUCAGGAGGAGGUCCUUAAACUGAGUUUCAACAAGGAUGCAGUUACCAAAGGGGGCCCCCACAAGGGCCCAGCCCCUGUGGUCACUGUCAGAAAACACAGCUUUUCAUUAAUGGAGGGAAUGGGUCUUGGUGAUGUCAGUUGAUGACUCCCUAGUGUGCUGUGACUUCUUCCCCUAGAAAUCAGGGCUGGUCCUCUCAUCAGGCCACCUACUCAGGAAGACCUUGGCCAUGCUGGGGUUCCAUCCAUCCUCACUGUCCAGCAUCACUCAGGAGAGGAGAAGAAGGUGUCUUCAAAAACACUGUUUCCAGGUUUACUUCUAGAAACCUGAUUAAUGGCAGAGGGGCCUGAAGGCUCAAAAGCUGGUCUCUAUCCAACUGAGACAGGAGGGCUCAAAGUUGUCAAUAGGUACUUGAUGAAAAAUUGUGCCCUGACUCUGAUGGCCAUGGAACUUGAGUCCUAUGAAAAACCAUGGAGUUUGAUUACACACGACAGACCACAAAUAACUUUACUUCCAAUCAUUUUUGUGCAUGUCUGAAGUCGCCAUAGUUCUUUAUCCCACAAAUGGCACUAAACUUUGGCAUCCUUGCAAUUUAAUUAUUCUUCUUUGUAAACUUCCACAUUUUGUUGAUUGGAAAACCAUGUGGUGUGUAGCCUUCUUUAUUCCUCAUUGAUUUGUAGGAGAACUUGAUUACAUUUGGGCCGGCCACACUCAGUAUAGGUCAGGCUGGUGUCAGGGUGGGGCCAAUACUACCUAUGGGAGGGUCAGAGCACUGUGUCAGUGGGGGGUGGGUCUGUUUUGGGAUGCAGUCAGGACUUUCAGCCUGUUGGGACCCCGGUGAGUUCCCGGUCAGAACUAUAGAGGAGUGGGAGAGGUGUGAAGACAGGUCUUGUCCUCUCAUCAGGAAACCUACACAAGAAGACCACAGCCAUGCUGGGUAUCAGUCAAAUAACAUUGUUCAUCAUCAUUCAGGAGAGCAGAAAGAAGCUGUCUAAGAAAAAAAAAUUGUUUCCAGGCUUAUUUCUAUAAUUUAUUUAAUUGCACAGGGGCUUCAAGGCUCAAAAGCAGCUCUCCAUCUAAAUGAGACUGAGGGCCCAAAGUUCUCAAGAGGUACUUGAUAAAAAAUUGUGCCCCUGUCUGUGAUGGCCAUGGCUACCACAAAUGCCUCACAGUCACUCAGAGACUUUUGCUUCCGUAGCAGGUCCUCUCCAGAUAACUCCAACCUGCAGUGGCUCAACAUGACUCAACACUUUGGGACCCUUCGGUGGUCCUUAGUGUGGAGUGCAAGGAGCCCCUGCCCUAAUCAUGCCUAAGCAGAAAUAUUGUGGGUAUCUUGGAAGGACACUGUACAUGCCUGAGUUCACCUUUUAAAUUCCAAUAAGAUUAAUUCCCCAUCUCCUUAUGCAAACAGUUCCUAUACCAUUUUGCCUUCUGCAGCAGCAUAACUCCUAAUGAAGUAGAUGGUAGAGUUUGUAUAUUCAUGACUUUCAUCUCAACUAGAGCAGAUCAAGUUGGUUACACUGAAAAAUGGCACACCAGGCAGGUCAGCCUGAAGGUGGCAAGCACAGAGAGUGACCUGGAGCAGUGGAGAACUGCAGGAGCUGCUAGGUGCAGCUGUCAGAUGGUCUCCAGGGAACUGAUGGAAGUGGCUGGCUACUGAUCCCAAGAAGGCAAUGGGAGUUUCUAUCACUAGGAGCUGAGGGUCCUUGACAUUCCAGUUCAGAACUAGUAACAAUAAAAUCUGAGAGCCACCAGUUAGUCCUGAGACUUCAGAGCUGUGAAUACCAAGGGAGAUGUGCUUUGCCCCUUUGUGAUUUCUCUUCAUAGCAGAGAAUCAUAGAUUGUUGGUAAGGGAGAUGUUUAAGGGGCACAGAUCAUGGAGGGAUACACAGAGAAGAUCCCCUAAACCAAGAGAGGCCUUUUCCAUGGGGUGAUGAGUUGGGUUUUGGAAUCUUGUUUGUUUUCUCCCAGGUUUAGGGAGAGGACCAGUCUAAAUCUGGAAACAAGACCCAAUAGAUGGACACUUGUGCACCCUGGGUCCUGACAACCCCAGAAAUCUCACUGCAUGGAUGUGCACAGAAAACAUGGCAGAAGGCAGCAGCCAGAGAAGAUUUUUUUUCUACCAAACUGCCUUUAUUCCCAUUGACAGUCAAACAAGGUACAGCUUCCCACCCAGGCUUGAACAUUGUGACCCUCCCCUCUCAGUAACUUCCUGCUGCUCUCUUUCUACAUUCCCUAUACCCUCCCACUCCCUUCAUUUUUCUGAGAUCCCACAGGAACUGUCCUAUGUGAGGAAGAACCUUUGGCCCUUCCAGUGCAGAAUGAAGCAAAGGUGAAAUCUUGCCUGAGGAGCAGCCAACCCAGAGGCCACUGGCCAACAUGACUGUCCUCAGGGCCUCUUCUUCUUUUGGUUGUCUCAAGAUGUGCACUUCCUCUUCUGAGGCUGUGAGGUUUGAGCCAGAUCCAGAUCCAUAUCUUGCCCUCCAAAGACCUUUAGGGGAGACCCAGUACAGGGCAUUUUUUCUAUGAAGCAUGAGCGUCCAGUGAGAGUGCUCUUCAUGGACAUGGCACCUGGAGGAGGGUGGGAGCUGAGGCGUCCUCUCUGGGGAGUUGGGGCCUGGAGUGCUUGAUCUCCUGAGCACAGGGUUUCUAUUGGAGGGGCUUGGCUCUGGGACAGUCCCCAGGGCAGCAGGCGGUGCUGGGAGCUAAGGAGGAAAUUCGGGCUUUGGGGGUCAUCAUCCACAUUGCAGCCAUUGGCCUAGAAGAAGUGGCUUUUCUGUGAUCCACUGUGCCUUUGUUUCCCAGGUUUAAGGAGGAGGAUAUGCAGUUCUGGAGAGGAUGGUUGGAGUGGAUGGUCCCCAAUGAUGAAGAUCAGUGACAUCCUUGGAGGAUAGCAGUGUCCUUUGAACCCAGCAACUCUGGCUUGGUGGGCCUGCACCUCUUCAUGACCUGGGAAGCCACUUCUGUGGACCAGUCCUCCAUGCUGACCCCUUGAUCAGUGCAAUGUUUCCACUUCUCUGCACCUUGUUUGGCAGCUUCCUCGGAAGCACCUUGUGUCCAGUUGGGACAUACCAUGACCUUGAGGCACCUGAAAAGGUGCUUCUUCACAAGCUGAAGGAGGAUAUGGGUACUGGCCAACUUUUCUUUAUGCAUGAAAUGGGCCACAGGGAUCAGGACAAUCAUAUUUCAGUGGGAGGUGGGAAGUGGGGCUGUCACUCAUCUUGGUCUCAGAGAAACCUGGCCACCCUCCUUUCUGCUUGAUAUCCUGAACCCUUCCAUGACUCUCAUGUCUCCUUCCUUUUUUUUCCAUCCUACAUCCUGUGUCCUGGAACAGACUCACUCAGGGAGCCGUCACAAACAGGAUAAGGAUAAACAAAGUCCCGUGAGCCACAUGAGUAAGGUCCUGUGCCUUCCUCUUCUACCUGCUAUCCCUUGCUUCCCUCUCCAACUGUGGUCACUCCCUUUUCUGUUUAUUUGUGACCCUUUGUCUCCUAGUCUGCCAUGUAUUUCUCUGUGCCUUGGUGUCUGUUCCCAAACCCUGGUAAACCUGGUAUAUCUACCUCCUUAGUUCUACCUGGUGCCCCUUUCUCCUUGUCUACCUUUUGUUUCUCCCCUACCCCUGUUUUUUCCUGGUGUCCCUGCACUUCUUUAUCAGGUGUCCCUGCCUCUCUUCUGUACCUCCUACCCCUGGUCUACUGGGAGACCUUCCUUCUGCUUUCUACCUGGUCAGUGGUGAGUCCUUCCUGCUGAUCCAACUCUUUUGUUAGGGCCAAGAUAUUUAUAUAUGGUUUGGAGGAAAGUAUUUCUUCCAGGAAGCAGGUAUGAAUCACAUUCUCUGCCUGGGAUGAGAAGGAAGAGAGUGUGAGUGACCUUGGGAGGAAAUGGCCCCAAGUCAGGAGGCAAAAGCAAGUCUAGGAGAAAGAGGAAGCAAUAAUGAUCCCAUUUUCAUCUGAACCAUGGGGUUGUUAUAUCCCAACUAUCAGCUACACCCAUGUAUGAGUGCACAUGUGUGCAUGCACAUUCUCUCUCUCUCUCUCUCUCUCUCUCUCUCUCACACACACACACACACACACACACACACAAACACACACAAAAUGCUGAGAUUCUAAGUCAGGAAGCUCAAUUCCAUGAGUCCUGAAACCUUGAGUACACCAAGAUUGUAGGUCCAGCUUACCUUGUUGACAAAGCCCUCAUCAACAUAGCUCAGGAGACAUGGAUCUGGGUAUAAAUCAUCCUGUAUUGGAUGUUGCUCUAGUCCUUCCUCUCCCAAGUUUUCAGCAAGCUCUUCUGUGGACAAGUAGGAGGGCUCCCACGUGGCAAAGUUCGUAGGCCCGAAUAGCUCA